rnacentral:misc_RNA from 1 species
AGAAAUUUUUCCUUGCUGAAAAAGCCAUCUAGGACUUUCCGGAGAAAAUGCCAUUCCCAGAACCAAUAGAAUAGCAGGGAGAGCAGCAAUGCCAAACAUUGUUCUCCACCAUAAAGGGUUUCCUGCUAAUGGUAGUCCAGCCACUAAUGCCAACAGAAUCCCAAUACAAAUGAAAAGUUGGUUUACAGACCCCAGAGCACCACGAAUUUCAGUUGGUGAAAUCUCUGAUAUGUAAAGAGGCACAAUGGCUGAAGAUAUGCCAAUUCCAAUACCAGCAAGAAGACGACCAAUUAUCAUAGUCUGUACACUCUGUGCAGUAGUACAGAGAAAUGCUCCAAUUAUGAGAGGAAUUGCAUCUAGUUGAAAAGUUCUUGUCCUGCCAAACUUGUCCGCCAAUGCUCCCCCUGUAAAAGAACCAACUGUGGCACCAGCAAGCAGCGUGCUAACGAUCCAUCCUUGUAGAACAGUGUUUUCAGCGAUUCCGAGAUCCUUGGCAAGAUACUCAAGAGCACCAUUCACCACCGCAAGAUGAUAACCAAAUAAAAUUGCACCCAAACAAGCAACACCGACGAACGGCAAGACAAUUCC